GUGCUCACUUUGGCAGCACAUAUACUAAAAUUCUAAAAAUACUGAGAAGAUUAACAUGACCCCAGCACAAGAACAACACGCCAAUUUAUAAAGCAUUACAUAUUUAA
ensembl:snRNA U6 U6 spliceosomal RNA